rnacentral:rRNA from 1 species
GAUGAACGCUGGCGGCGUGCUUAACACAUGCAAGUCGAACGGGAAACCUUUUAUUGAAGCUUCGGCAGAUUUAGCUGGUUUCUAGUGGCGGACGGGUGAGUAACGCGUGGGUAACCUGCCUUAUACAGGGGGAUAACAACCAGAAAUGGUUGCUAAUACCGCAUAAGCGCACAGGACCGCAUGGUCCGGUGUGAAAAACUCCGGUGGUAUAAGAUGGACCCGCGUUGGAUUAGCUAGUUGGCAGGGUAACGGCCUACCAAGGCGACGAUCCAUAGCCGGCCUGAGAGGGUGAACGGCCACAUUGGGACUGAGACACGGCCCAGACCCCUACGGGAGGCAGCAGUGGGGAAUAUUGCACAAUGGGGGAAACCCUGAUGCAGCGACGCCGCGUGAAGGAAGAAGUAUCUCGGUAUGUAAACUUCUAUCAGCAGGGAAGAUAGUGACGGUACCUGACUAAGAAGCCCCGGCUAACUACGUG